rnacentral:lncRNA from 1 species
GGGAAAUGGCUUUUUUUUUUCUGAAUUAUGAUUUUACUACUUGGAAACAAUUCACUUCAGUUGGGUGACAAUGACUGUUUUGCUGGCACAGUGCAUUGCCCUUUGUGUAGAAUAUUCCUGCAACACAGUUUAGCUCCAUUCCCUUUGACACAGAUGCUCCCAUUAUCCUUUGGUCAAAUCUGAACACAAAUAAAUGCUGAUAAAACAAGCUCACCUCCAAGAUCUCAGAAGGCAUUUUCUUUGCCCUAAAACCACAUAUUAGUUUGAAUUUGUCCCACUGCUUAUCAUCUGAAAUAUAGGCCAAGUUUACUCUUCUAAUCUCACAGCAAGGUUGUGAAGGAAACUAACAGCAUUUAAGAGGAAUAGAACCUGGUGUGAAUUUGUAUUUAAAGGGUGUGGCUGUUCUGGGACUGUUGCUCUCCCCACUGUUUGGUAAAGCAUUGAGCUACUUUUCUUUCCUCUGAAAGAGGAAAACUCUGGAUGAUACUCUGGAUGAGUAUCCAGU